rnacentral:rRNA from 1 species
GGUCAAGCUACUAAGAGCGUAGGGUGGAUGCCUUGGCACCAAGAGCCGAAGAAGGACGCGGUAAGCUGCGAAAAUCUACGGGGAGCCGCAAACAGGCAGAGAUCCGUAGGAAUCCGAAUGGGGGAACCCAACCGGGGUAAAUGCCCGGUUACUCAUACAUGAAUCGAUAGUGUAUGAGAGGUAAACGCGGGGAACUGAAACAUCUAAGUACCCGCAGGAAAAGAAAGAAAACUCGAUUCCUUAAGUAGCGGCGAGCGAACGAGGAGGAGCCCAAACCGCCCUGGAUACUAGAGACUAGAGGAUAGAAACUGGAAUUAAGUAGUUCUGCGAAGAAAUGCUAAAAUCCAGAAUCCAUUGUCUAGUUUCCAGUAUCCAGAGCGGGGUUGAGGACCAGGGAAGCGACUUCUUAGUCUAGCAGAACACGUCUGGAAAGCGUGGCCAUAGAGGGUGAAAGCCCCGUAGGCGAAAGACGAGGGAGCGUGCUGGGAUCCAGAGUACCACGGGACACGAGGAAUCCUGUGGGAAGCAGGGAGGACCACCUCCCAAGGCUAAAUACUACUUGGUGACCGAUAGAGGAGAAGUACCGUGAGGGAAAGGUGAAAAGAACCCCGGGAGGGGAGUGAAAGAGAACCUGAAACCCUAUGUUUACAAGCAGUCAAAGCACGAUCUGGAGACUGGAUACUAGAGACUGGAGACUGGAAAAGCUUGAGGAAUGAAGGAAAGAGGCGGGCAAGCUAAAGCAGAAUCGGAGAAAAACUUCAAAGGAGAGCUAAAAUCUAGUGUCUAGCAUCUAGUAUCUAGUUUCCAGUGUGCGAUGGCGUACUUUUUGUAGAACGGUCCGGCGAGUUACUAUAUGUGGCGAGGUUAAGUACUAAGUAAGGUACGGAGCCGUAGGGAAACCGAGUCUUAAGAGGGCGGAAGUCACAUGUAGUAGACCCGAAACCGGGUGACCUACCCAUGGACAGGGUGAAGCUGAAGUAAAAUUUAGUGGAGGCCCGAACUCAUUGUCGUUGAAAAGGCAUGGGAUGAGCUGUGGGUAGAGGUGAAAUGCCAAUCGAACCCGGAGAUAGCUGGUUCUCCCCGAAAUAGCUUUAGGGCUAGCCUCGAGGUAGAGGUAUAUGGAGGUAAAGCACUGAAUGGGCUAGGGGCCUAACCGGGUUACCGAACCCUAUCAAACUCUGAAUGCCAUAUAAUCAUACUCGGGAGUCAGACUAUGUGAGAUAAGUUUCAUAGUCGAGAGGGGAACAGCCCAGACCAUCAGCUAAGGUCCCGAAAUUGCAGCUAAGUGGGAAAGGAUGUGGUUUUGCACAGACAACCAGGAUGUUGGCUUAGAAGCAGCCAUUCAUUCAAAGAGUGCGUAAUAGCUCACUGGUCGAGUGGAACUGCGCCGAAAAUUAGCGGGGCUAAAGCUGCAUACCGAAGCUGUGGCAUCCGCAAGGAUGGGUAGGGGAGCUUUCUAUAGUAGGCAGAAGGCAGACUGGGAGGACUGCUGGACGAGAUAGAAG